rnacentral:lncRNA from 1 species
UGAUUAUCAAGAAAAGUUAUUUAAAAAGGCUGCUGAACGUUACCAAAAUAAGUUAGAUUUAAUAGGGUUGUUCUGAGGUCACAAAAAUAAUCUUACAAAGUUUUAGAGAGUACCUUCGGGAAUGAAGUUAAAAAGUUGUUAAUGUUAAGCAUUUUCUAGAAGCCAAAACGGAACA